rnacentral:rRNA from 1 species
GACGAACGUUGGCGGCGUGCCUAAUACAUGCAAGUCAACUGAAAUACCGGUAGCAAUACUGGUAUGGAGGUGGCGCACGGGUGAGUAACACGUAGGUAAUCUGCCUUCAGGUCUGACAUAACCCAUCGAAAGGUGAGCUAAUAUCAGAUGAUGCAGCGGCUUGACAUCAAGACAGUUGUUAAAGCUUCGGCGCCUGAAGAUGAGCCNGCGUCUGAUUAGCUAGUUGGCGGGGUAACGGCCCACCAAGGCUGCGAUCAGUAGCUGGUCUGAGAGGAUGAUCAGUCACACUGGAACUGAGACACGGUCCAGACUCCUACGGGAGC